CCGGAGCUUGCUUUGGAAAAUUCUAGUGGCGAACGGGUGAGUAACACGUGAGCAACCUGCCUGAAAACGGGGGAUAGCCCGGGGAAACCCGGAUUAAUACCGCGUGUGGUUCCGCAGGACAUCCUGCGAGAAUUAAAGGUGGCCUUUGUGCUGCCGUUUUCAGAUGGGCUCGCGGCCUAUCAGCUUGUUGGUGAGGUAAAAGCUCACCAAGGCGACGACGGGUACCUGGUCUGAGAGGAUGAUCAGGCACACUGGAACUGAGACACGGUCCAGACACCUACGGGUGGCAGCAGUCGAGAAUCAUUCGCAAUGGGCGAAAGCCUGACGGUGCGACGCCGCGUGGAGGAUGAAGGCCCUCGGGUCGUAAACUCCUGUCAUCAGAGAGUAAUGCUUCAGUCAGUAACUGGGCUGAAGAGUGAUAGUAUCUGAAGAGGAAGGGACGGCUAACUUCGUGCCAGCAGCCGCGGUAAUACGAAGGUCCCGAGCGUUGUUCGGAUUUACUGGGCGUAAAGCGUCUGUAGGCGGCGCGGUAAGUCAGAUGUGAAAGCCCGGGGCUCAACCCCGGAAAUGCAUCCGAUACUGCCGUGCUGGAGGGUCGGAGGGGAGUCUGGAAUUCUCGGUGUAGCAGUGAAAUGCGUAGAUAUCGAGAGGAACACUAGUGGCGAAGGCGAGACUCUGGACGACACCUGACGCUGAGAGA
rnacentral:rRNA from 1 species